AUUGAACGCUGGCGGCAUGCUUUACACAUGCAAGUCGAACGGCAGCGCGGGCUUCGGCCUGCCGGGGAGUGGGGAACGGGGGGGUAAUGCACCGGAACGUGCCCGGAAGUGGGGGAUAGCCGGGCGAAGGCCGGAUUAAUCCCGCAUACGACCUGAGGGGGAAAGGGGGGGCCCGAAAGGCCUCGCGCAAUUGGAGCGGCCGAUGUCGGAUUAGCUAGUUGGUGGGGUAAAGGCUUACCAAGGCGACGAUCCGUAGCUGGUCUGAGAGGACGACCAGCCACACUGGGACUGAGACACGGCCCAGACUCCUACGGGAGGCAGCAGUGGGGAAUUUUGGACAAUGGGGGCAACCCUGAUCCAGCCAUGCCGCGUGCGGGAAGAAGGCCUUCGGGUUGUAAACCGCUUUUGUUCGGGAAGAAAUCCUCUGGGCUAAUACCCCGGGGGGAUGACGGUACCGGAAGAAUAAGCACCGGCUAACUACGUG
rnacentral:rRNA from 1 species